rnacentral:rRNA from 1 species
GAGGAAUAUUGGUCAAUGGACGAGAGUCUGAACCAGCCAAGUAGCGUGAAGGAUGACUGCCCUAUGGGUUGUAAACUUCUUUUAUACGGGAAUAAAGUGAGGCACGUGUGCCUUUUUGUAUGUACCGUAUGAAUAAGGAUCGGCUAACUCCGUGCCAGCAGCCGCGGUAAUACGGAGGAUCCGAGCGUUAUCCGGAUUUAUUGGGUUUAAAGGGAGCGUAGGCGGACGCUUAAGUCAGUUGUGAAAGUUUGCGGCUCAACCGUAAAAUUGCAGUUGAUACUGGGUGUCUUGAGUACAGUAGAGGCAGGCGGAAUUCGUGGUGUAGCGGUGAAAUGCUUAGAUAUCACGAAGAACUCCGAUUGCGAAGGCAGCUUGCUGGACUGUAACUGACGCUGAUGCUCGAAGGUGUGGGUAUCAAACAGGAUUAGAUACCCUGGUAGUCCACACAGUAAACGAUGAAUACUCGCUGUUUGCGAUAUACAGUAAGCGGCCAAGCGAAAGCGUUAAGUAUUCCACCUGGGGAGUACGCCGGCAACGGUGAAACUCAAAGGAAUUGACGGGGGCCCGCACAAGCGGAGGAACAUGUGGUUUAAUUCGAUGAUACGCGAGGAACCUUACCCGGGCUUGAAUUGCAACUGAAUGAUGUGGAGACAUGUCAGCCGCAAGGCAGUUGUGAAGGUGCUGCAUGGUUGUCGUCAGCUCGUGCCGUGAGGUGUCGGCUUAAGUGCCAUAACGAGCGCAACCCUUAUCGAUAGUUACCAUCAGGUUAUGCUGGGGACUCUGUCGAGACUGCCGUCGUAAGAUGUGAGGAAGGUGGGGAUGACGUCAAAUCAGCACGGCCCUUACGUCCGGGGCUACACACGUGUUACAAUGGGGGGUACAGAAGGCAGCUACACGGCGACGUGAUGCUAAUCCCGAAAGCCUCUCUCAGUUCGGAUUGGAGUCUGCAACCCGACUCCAUGAAGCUGGAUUCGCUAGUAAUCGCGCAUCAGCCACGGCGCGGUGAAUACGUUCCCG